rnacentral:rRNA from 1 species
AAAGACCCCGUGAACCUUUACUAUAGCUUGACACUGAACAUUGAGCCUUGAUGUGUAGGAUAGGUGGGAGGCUUUGAAGCGUGGACGCCAGUCUGCGUGGAGCCGACCUUGAAAUACCACCCUUUAAUGUUUGAUGUUCUAACGUGGACCCGUAAUCCGGGUUGCGGACAGUGUCUGGUGGGUAGUUUGACUGGGGCGGUCUCCUCCUAAAGAGUAACGGAGGAGCACGAAGGUUGGCUAAUCCUGGUCGGACAUCAGGAGGUUAGUGCAAUGGCAUAAGCCAGCUUGACUGCGAGCGUGACGGCGCGAGCAGGUGCGAAAGCAGGUCAUAGUGAUCCGGUGGUUCUGAAUGGAAGGGCCAUCGCUCAACGGAUAAAAGGUACUCCGGGGAUAACAGGCUGAUACCGCCCAAGAGUUCAUAUCGACGGCGGUGUUUGGCACCUCGAUGUCGGCUCAUCACAUCCUGGGGCUGAAGUAGGUCCCAAGGGUAUGGCUGUUCGCCAUUUAAAGUGGUACGCGAGCUGGGUUUAGAACGUCGUGAGACAGUUCGGUCCCUAUCUGCCGUGGGCGCUGGAGAACUGAGGGGGGCUGCUCCUAGUACGAGAGGACCGGAGUGGACGCAUCACUGGUGUUCGGGUUGUCAUGCCAAUGGCACUGCCCGGUAGCU